rnacentral:rRNA from 1 species
GAUGAACGCUGGCGGCGUGCCUAAUACAUGCAAGUCGAGCGAACGGACGAGAAGCUUGCUUCUCUGACGUUAGCGGCGGACGGGUGAGUAACACGUGGAUAACCUACCUAUAAGACUGGGAUAACUUCGGGAAACCGGAGCUAAUACCGGAUGAUAUUUUGAACCGCAUGGUUCAAAAGUGAAAGACGGUCUUGCUGUCACUUAUAGAUGGAUCCGCGCUGCAUUAGCUAGUUGGUAAGGUAACGGCUUACCAAGGCAACGAUGCAUAGCCGACCUGAGAGGGUGAUCGGCCACACUGGAACUGAGACACGGUCCAGACUCCUACGGGAGGCAGCAGUAGGGAAUCUUCCGCAAUGGGCGAAAGCCUGACGGAGCAACGCCGCGUGAGUGAUGAAGGUCUUCGGAUCGUAAAACUCUGUUAUUAGAGAAGAACAUAUGUGUAAGUAACUGUGCACAUCUUGACGGUACCUAAUCAGAAAGCCACGGCUAACUACGUG